rnacentral:lncRNA from 1 species
GGCCGGGUGCCCGGGUUUGGCGUGAUCACCAACAUCGUCAACGGCGGGAUCGAGUGCGGGCAUGGGCAGGACAGCCGAGUCGCCGACCGGAUCGGGUUUUACAAGCGCUACUGCGACAUCCUCGGCGUUGGCUACGGCAACAACCUCGACUGCUACAACCAGAGGCCCUUCGCUUAACUAAUUAGUUAUACAUAACCCCGCACACAAAAUUCAAUAAGAGCAUCAGAGCAUGGGGUAAGUUGUAACUAUGGUUACUUCUCCUGAGAAUCUCAAUAAACGCAUCCAAUAUAGAUGCUUUGGUAUUGAGGUUUAGAAAAAAUAUUGGCUCAUGCUUUGAGAUCAACACUAAAUGCUUCUUAAAGAGUUCAAUUAUACCUGGCCAUCGCUCGGGCUGGGCCGGGAUUCGGGUCGGGCUAGACCAAGCCCGACCUAAAAAACCUAGGCCCGAGCCAGGCCCGGCCCGACCGUCGGGCCUAGAUAUCAGGCCCAUGCCCGGCCUAUCGCUGCUUAAUUUCGUCGGGCUUUGGGUCUCGGGCCGGGUCCCUUCCUUAAAACGCAAAAACAACAAGCCCAUGCCCAGGCCUGGCCAAUCGCUGCUUAAUUUCGUCGGACUUUGGGCCUUGGGCCGAGCCCCUUCCCUAAAACGCAAAAACAACAAGCCCAGGCCCGGCCCGACAAACGCUUUGGGAUCAAAAUUCAGGCCCGAACCCGGCCCAUGGGCAAGGUCGGACCGGGCCGGGCUGCCCAUGGCCAGAUAUAUGUUCAAUCAUGGCAACCGAGAUACAUCUAGGUCUAACUAGGUAUAGUGCUUAUGUUACCUAGCGAUCAGGAGCAGAUACGAUAUAUAUACAUAUAUAUGGACUCACUUGCCUUCUUAUUCUCUUCAAAAUUUUCACCGAGUCAUCUAAAUAAUAGUGCUAUCGGGUAGCUGGUAAGAUGGCAGAAUCGUCAUUUUUUUUGUGAGAUAGGAUCCAUAAUUUCUUACAAUGUUGUAUGCUUUGUUAUAUAUAAAUCACCCUCCUCCCCUUGAGCGUCGUCACAGUUUCGUAGAGAGGCGAUGGACCAAAAAAUUAAGCUAGGGCGAAAUCACCCCCUUCCGCUUGAGCAUCGACCGCCUGCUUGGUCGACACCCGCCACCGCCGCCAUGCUUGGUUUGGCCGAGUGCCCUAGUGCUAGGUUUGGCCGUGUGCGUUUCUUUUUGAUCUGGGUCAUGAACUACCUGUGCGAAACAAUGCACCUCCUGUCUUGUGGCCCAGCAGCUCGUGGCCCAUAUGAACAGGGACACUAUUUAGCCUAGCGGACGACUGAGCGGAAAAUACAUUUUGAUUUGUUGUUGUAUAUGCAUCCUGUAUGAGGAAUUUUUAACAAUUAAACAAAACUCAAAAUAGUACAGAACUAUUUUUGGAUUAAAUUUGACUUUGUUUUACACUAGUAUAUAAAAUUUCAAAAAAAAACCAACAUUGACUUUUGGGCAAAAAAACAAAGUUUAUUUGUUAUUAUAGGUCACUAUUCACACUAUUUUGACCAAACAAUUUCUUUUUGAAAAUUCGUCAAAGUGUAAUUUUCGUUUUGUGGAAUUUUUCUCACAAGUACAAUGGAAAGCCAAGUUUAUUUCAAAAAUAUUUUCAACAUUUCUUAACUUUUUGUUGAAUUGCUAUAUAUUUUUUUACAUAUAGGGUGUAUAUAGACCUGGGAACCAAAUGUUCACAUCCACAACUGAGCCAGGGAGAUGGGACACACACACGCACACGCACAUAAUCUUUUUUGCAUAGAUUAAGGUAUGGCAGGCGCCACACGUUGAGUUGUUUUGUAUGACUUUGUUCUUUGUCAGCGUCCUCUAGUUCUAUGUUGGUGUUACUUACAUGCAUCUUAAUUACUCCUAUGUGUAGACUUGUUGUGCGUGUAUCCCCUUGGCGCAAUACUAAAAGUCAAUAAAAAGAGAGUAGGGUGUUUUGGAGCUCCCCUAUGCAAUGCUACAGGCGCCCAUUAACGAUCCAGGGGCGUGCAGCGUCACUGGCAUGGCCCGGCCCAUUAGCGUGCUGCCCAGCUUUUCUUGAUCUGUUUUUUUGUUGACCCAAUAGAAAAAAACGCCAUGAUUUUCUCUUUGUUAUGAAAAUAAAAAUAUGAAAUCAAAUUUUACAGAUUUAAAAAAAAGGUUCAUCCAUUUGAAAAAAAGUUCAUAUCUUUAGAAAAGGUUCAUCAAUUUGAAAAAAGUUCACUGAAACUGAAAAAAAACUUCAUCAAACAUUUAAAAAGUUCAUUACAUUUGAAAAAACGUCAUAGAAAUUAAAAAAUCCAUGUAUUUUUAAAAAAAGUUCAUUGAACUGGAAAAAAGGUCAUAAAUCUUGAAAAAGUUCAUCAAUUUGGGAAAAAAAUCAUCCAUUUUUAAAAAGAUAUUCAUCAAAUUCAUCCGGUUAUGUUGGCAAAUACAUAACAUACAUGUUUGUGUGUGUACACAAAAAGUUUCAUUUUUUUUGCAUUAUAGAAAUAUGAUUUUUGAAAACGGGCACCGUGGUGCCCGUGCACCGUUUCAUAUUUUCGUAACUCUAGCUUGUUCCUGGAUCGCCCUCCCCGGGGACGUUGUGACCAGCUAUGGCCUCCCCGUCUUCUUUGGCUCGGUGCUAUAUGUGUUGAAAUGGACUAACGUGCCAAAAAAAAAUAUAUAAUGGGAGGCACACACGUCGUCCAUGGACUAAAAUUCCAUAUGCGUGCAUACUAGCACACGCCCUCGAUCAUACACGGCCAGCUGCUUGCCGCUGUACGUACCUCUCGAUCGGAUCUAAGCCAAGCCGCCAAGUUUGAUCCGUUGAUCGCAUGACGAUGUUGCUCUGGAAGGAAGCUCACGGAGAAGGUAGAUGGAUAGACACACACAGGUUGAUCAUGGCGAUCGAGUAGCUAGGGCGACACCUACAUAUAUAAAGACGUGCACUCCCCACCGCUUCUGCCACACACACACACACCACUACGACAGUAGCGUAAGCGUAACACCGAGUACGUACUGUGUGCUUUGUUGGCUCGCACAAUGAGAUCGCUCGCGGUGGUGAUGGCCGUGGUAACCACGGUGGCCAUGGCCAUCGGCACGGCGCGCGGCAGCGUGUCCUCCAUCAUCUCGCGCGCACAGUUCGACCGCAUGUUGCUGCACCGCAACGACGGCGCCUGCCAGGCCAAGGGCUUCUACACCUACGACGCCUUCGUCGCCGCCGCAUCUGCCUUCCCGGGCUUCGGCAGCACCGGCAGCGCCGACGCCCAGAAGCGCGAGGUGGCCGCCUUCCUGGCCCAGACCUCCCACGAGACCACCGGCGGAUGGGCGACGGCACCGGACGGGGCCUUCGCCUGGGGCUACUGCUUCAAGCAGGAACGCGGCGCCUCCUCCGACUACUGCACCCCGAGCGCACAGUGGCCGUGCGCCCCCGGGAAGCGCUACUACGGCCGCGGGCCCAUCCAGCUCUCCCACAACUACAACUAUGGACCUGCCGGCCGGGCCAUCGGGGUCGAUCUGCUGGCCAACCCGGACCUGGUGGCCACGGACGCCACUGUGGCGUUUAAGACGGCCAUCUGGUUCUGGAUGACGGCGCAGCCGCCCAAGCCGUCGAGCCAUGCUGUGAUCGCCGGCCAGUGGAGCCCGUCAGGGGCUGACCGGGCCGCAGGGCGGGUGCCCGGGUUUGGUGUGAUCACCAACAUCAUCAAUGGUGGGAUCGAGUGUGGUCACGGACAGGACAGCCGUGUCGCCGAUCGAAUCGGGUUUUACAAGCGCUACUGUGACAUCCUCGGCGUUGGNNNNNNNNNNNNNNNNNNNNNNNNNNNNNNNNNNNNNNNNNNNNNNNNNNNNNNNNNNNNNNNNNNNNNNNNNNNNNNNNNNNNNNNNNNNNNNNNNNNNNNNNNNNNNNNNNNNNNNNNNNNNNNNNNNNNNNNNNNNNNNNNNNNNNNNNNNNNNNNNNNNNNNNNNCAACCUCGACUGCUACAGCCAGAGACCCUUCGCUUAAUUAAUUAGUUAUGUAUUAAUCUUGGCCCUCCAUAAAAUACAAUAAGAGCAUCAUCUCCUAUCUACAUGCUGUAAGAUGUAACUUUCGUUACCUUUUAUGGGGAACAUAACUAAGGCAUCUCGUAUAGAUGCUUAAUUUGCUACUGAAUCUUACCAACAAUAUUGGCUCUUUGUUUCAUAUCAACAGUUUAUGCCUUUUAAAGAGUUCAA